GAUCUUACUGAGGUAUCUUUGUAAUGGAUUAGUAUCAUUUUCGCUAUUUAUAAAAGGGAAUUUUUAUGUAACAAAAGAAAAAAGUUAGAAGUUUUUGAAUAGUUGAGAUACCAAGGAAAAGGAUUUUAAAAUGACAUUUUGAAGUGGACAAAACACUGCCAGUUGUAGGACUGAACCAGACAACUUCUUAAAAACAUAGGAUGGUGAAAAUCAAAGCAGUGCAUAAAAUUAAGUGAAAUGUCCAAGCAAAGAUCACUACAUUAAAAACUACUUUUUAUAACUUAUGCCUGCCAAAUGGAUGAGGAUUCCAGAAUAACAUUCGCCACGCCUUCAUAUCCGAUGGCUGAUUUAACUGGUGUUUUGACAUUAGUUGGUGGGCUUUGUAUGAUAAUUCUUCUUUUACUUUAUAUGUGCUUUUGCCAUCAAAGACGAUUCUGCAUAAAACUAAACUGGGAAUGUUGUAUAUCCAUUGGAGAUGAUGAGGAAAAUAGGGAAAAUGCUCAAAAUAACAAUGUGGAAUUUUCCCUAGGCCGUAACAGUGAAAACAAUUCUCAAAUAUUUGCAAAUUCUCCUCCGCCUCCAAACUAUUCUCAGCUUGAAUUUGAUCAAGCUGUUAGUGAUUCUGCAAAUGGCAACACUGAACUAAGGGAGACAACCAUUGAAACAACACCAAGUUCAGACACAGUUACACAACCUCCAUCAUAUUCUGAUGUCAUCAGAAAUGAAGUGGAUUUUCAUGUGCAUAUUUGAUUUAUUUUUUAUACAUUGUUGAGAAAUAAAAGAUGCUUUUUAUUAGAAAUAAUUGUUACUCUUUAAAAUUCUUUAAAAUUAUGUGAUAUGUUAAUAAUGUGAGUAAAACUUGCAUUGCCCCUAAUACCGUUUAUAUCCUUUUAAAGGCAAAGGGAACAUGUCUUUUUGAGGACCCUGCACGCUAUAAAUAAACAUUUUUCCCCAUUUAGCAACUUUCUGGAAUUUUUUAGAAUUUGAAUAAAAAACAUGAAAUACCAAUCAAUAUCCACUGGAUCAUAGCUGUAGCUGUAUACAUGCCCUGCUGUGCAAAUCGAUUAACUGGUCCAGUGAACACAUCGUUUCAAUAAAUGAAUUCACAUUUUUCGGUAAUUUUAUCGAUUUGUCAGGUUAAGAUUAUCAUUCUCUUUACCACAGAAUCAGAAAAUAUACCAACAGAAAGACCCCCAGCGCAUUUAUUAGGCCAUGCAUG